GAAAAUCCUUUCUCAUCAAUUUAACCUGUCCUUAGUUCAAAUAACACAAUAUUCGAAAACAGCGUGAUACGUUUUAGCAUUGUCAUGGUUAGAUAUAAAAUACCUGACUUGGCCGGGCAUGCCAGCAAAUUUCAAGAUGGCAACCAUGUCUAUCCUGGGCGCUCUGCUUGCACUGAUCGCAUGUGCUUUAAUUCUAUCUACGAAAGGACAAGAGAGAAUGCCACCUGCUUAUAGAGAUCCUUGGUGGUUGGGGAAUGGUCUCGUACCGAUGCGAUGCGGUAAGAACCAGGAAUACAAGGAGUGCCAGAGCGGCAGUUGCGGCGAGUGGAAAUGCUCGUUCUUGUAUACAGGCUGGCCCGAUGCAUGCACGUUGGACUGCCAAACCGGAUGUUUCUGUAAGCAUGGUUACUUCAGGAAUAGCAAGAACAAGUGUGUGAAAGGGUGGAAAUGCUUCAAAGAAUACACCAUGUACAAGCCUCUCCUCUCCGAGUAGUGCUCAAGCCACCAUGCAAAGACCUCCCGUCUUAAGAUACGUGCGUCAGGGAAGCGAUCGAUUGAGGUGAUAUCAAAAUGGAGGAAGGUAUAGAAAUUAAAAUGAGCCAUAUUGCAUUCUUCACUGAAGAACGAUGUACAACAAGAAGAACUACAUAUUUGUUGAAUAAAGAUAAUUAGGAUUUGUGGCAA